UGGCGACCGGCGCACGGGUGAGUGACACGUAUCCAACCUGCCGAUGACUCGGGGAUAGCCUUUCGAAAGAAAGAUUAAUACCCGAUGGCAUAGUUCUUCCGCAUGGUAGAACUAUUAAAGAAUUUCGGUCAUCGAUGGGGAUGCGUUCCAUUAGGUUGUUGGCGGGGUAACGGCCCACCAAGCCUUCGAUGGAUAGGGGUUCUGAGAGGAAGGUCCCCCACAUUGGAACUGAGACACGGCCCAGACUCCUACGGGAGGCAGCAUG
rnacentral:rRNA from 1 species